rnacentral:rRNA from 1 species
UCCGGAGGGUGCAAGCGUUAUCCGGAUUUACUGGGUUUAAAGGGUGUGUAGGCGGACUUUUAAGUCAGCGGUGAAAUCUCCGGGCUCAACCCGGAAACUGCCAUUGAUACUAUUGGUCUUGAAUGUUGUUGAGGUGGGCGGAACGGGUCAUGUAGCGGUGAAAUGCAUAGAUAUCUGGAGGAACACCGGUGGCGAAGGCGACAUCCUGGACCGGCAUUGACGCUGAGGCGCGAAAGCCAGGGGAGCAAACGGG